CCCUUCCUGGGCACGUCCCUCUAUCACCUGAAGCUGCUGAACAUUGGGAUGGAGGAUGAUCUGGAAGGAAAUCGGGUCAACUUCCAGAAAUGGUAUGAGAUAAGCAGCUUCAUCAGGAGGAUCCAGCUGCUCCAGCAGGCUGCAAAUGCGUAUGACCUGGAGGCCGAAGAGCGAUUUGGGGCCUGGUUCCAGGCCAUG